rnacentral:misc_RNA from 1 species
GGAAGCUGGAUGACAGUGAGUUUAGAAAUCCUUGGACUAGAGCUUAUAUUCAGGUAACCAUUCAAUCUAGAAUUUUAUUAGUUGUCUAGUAGUUAAUUCUUCUGGCCAUCCCUUCCCCUAUUCUGGAUUACUAUAAAUAAUCGCAACGAGGCAUUAAAGUUGGCGUGCUUUUCGGAAAGCUUUCUACUUGAAGAGUUGAAGAUGGUUUUGGCAUAUAUGAGAAAUUAUUAAUGUUUGGAGGCUUCAAAUGGAAGUGCAUGCUGAAUUGUUCUUUUAUAUUAUUUUUUAUGUAUCUAACUUUGCAGGUGAAGAGGUAUGAGGGUACUCCAUCAAGGAGCCAUAGUAGUAGCCGCAGCAGAAGCAAGAGUCCAAGAAGGAACCGAAGGUGUGCUUGUGUUUAUUUAUAUGCAUUUCCUUAAUGUGCUUUUUAAAAACUUGUUUGCUGAAAUUAAAUCUUUUAAAAUUUUAUGGAAUUCAUUUAUAAAUACAUUCUUAAAAUACCUAAAAUUUCAUGAAUGAUUAAACUACCAAAAUAUAUUUUUCCCCUAAAUAAUAGUAAGCUAUACUUCCUUACAGAAAUUGUAUAGACAACCUGAACUAAAGAUCUUAAUUUCACAAUUAAAAAUAAAUCAAAAUAAUUCGUAACUCUUCUUUUGCUUGACUGCAUCAUUAAGCUUGAGUCAUUCUACCAAAAUUAAUAGAAUUUGCAAAUGAAGUCUUAACCUAAUAAAGCUAUAAAAUUCAUUUACAAAUGAAUUCUUUUUAUGAAUUUCAUUUGCAAAUCGAACAAAUUUCAUAUUCAUUUGGCCCAAACACAUCGCAACUUCUUUUACCUAAGUGGUUGAAGUCUUGCUGUCUUCUCAUAAAGUAAAUCAUUGGAACGAUCUCCUUCAAGAUCAGUGUCAAAGUCUAGA